GGUUUAAUAGUUUAUUUAAAACAUCGGUCUUGUAAAUCGAAGAAAUGUAUUCUUCAUUUAAACCU
rnacentral:tRNA from 1 species